UGUGCGUCUACUCCCUACCCAGCAUGGGAAAUGAAGCAGGAAGAGGAGGAGGCUGCCUGUCUGUACCCACCUCUCGCUCAAGGUGCCAGAAACGCCGCCACUGGAGAUCCACUCCUUCACAUCAAACACUGUCCCCUCCAGGGUCAUCUUAAAAUGUGGAUGUGGCCCCUGGAACAGAAGCAGCCAGGGGAAGGCUCACUCACAGAGGGUGUUGCUGAUGCUGCCAUAAACGUACUUGAGCCCAUGAACCGCAUGCAGGGCCUGCGCUGCAUUCUUGGCAAGACUGUGCUGCAAAAUUCAAUCCAGAGAGUGAGAGGCGGGGCUCCCCACAGCCCCACACCCUCACCAGCUGUGGAGGAGCAGGGACUUCAGAGUCUUGGAAGCUGAAUCUGUAGAUGGCUCUUGUAAGAAGGAAGCACAGCAUCUCCAAUUUUGAAACUGAUCCCAUGGCCAUGUCGUGGAGGGCUACACUGGGCUGGUCAAGCUUUGUGGGUUAGGAACACAACUGGAAAGAGCAUCACAGGUCCUGCUCUCACUCCUCCUCCCUGAAACGACUGCACAGAAGCCCAGUCAAAGGCCAGGAAUUGCCCCAACUUUGGAAGCCUCCUGAGGAUGCCAGAGCACCCCACUUGACCCUCAGAGCAGUGAGCUGGCUGAAGAUCUGGAAGGCUUGCCCACAGACCAGUUCAAACGAUGCUCUAGGACUGCCGCAAACAGGUCCUUCCCAAGGGUGCAGGUGAGGGCGGCACGGGUGGGAGGGAUGAUCUACAGAUUACUCAGCAUGCAGCAAUUAAAUUAAGGCAAUAAUAAAACCAUAAACAAAAUCUUCCUGCCUGAGUCCCUAACCAGACACUCGCUACUUCUGGCCACAGGCAGGCCCAGAGGCAAUUUUGUCACCUGGGAGCGCAUCCCCUAUUGGUCUGCCUGUCCUCACCUAGGGUGAGGACUGACCCUGGUUAGAAGGGGAUGUGCCUACAGGGAACGAGGGGGUAGG